AGAAUCAACGCUGGCGGCGUGCCUAACACAUGCAAGUCGAACGAGAAAGUGGAGCAAUCCAUGAGUAAAGUGGCGACCGGGUGAGUAACACGUGACUAACCUACCUUCGAGUGGGGGAUAACCUCGGGAAACCGAGGCUAAUACCGCAUAACAUCGUGAGAUCAAAAGCAGUAAUGCGCUUGGAGAGGAGUUCGCGGCAGAUUAGUUAGUUGGCGGGGUAAUGGCCCACCAAGACGAUGAUCUGUA
rnacentral:rRNA from 1 species